UACAGGGGGGGCAAGCGUUGUUCGGAAUUACUGGGCGUAAAGGGUCUGUAGGUGGCCAACUAAGUCAGACGUGAAAUCCCUCAGCUUAACUGGGGAACUGCGUCUUAUACUGGAUGGCUUGAGUGUGGGAGAGGAAUGCGGAAUUCCAGGUGUAGCGGUGAAAUGCGUAGAUAUCUGGAGGAACACCGGUGGCGAAGGCGGCAUUCUGGACCAUAACUGACGCUGAUGCACGAAAGCUAGGGGAGCAAACAGG
rnacentral:rRNA from 1 species